CCAGCCACCCUGCACCUUCGACCAUCAAGGAGGCUGGGGUGGCCUCGGGGCAAUGCCAGGUGAGACCUCAGGUGAGCUGCUGCACCCCCCCAGUGCUUGGGGCAGGGGAAGGGAGGUGGGCCUGGGCCAGACUCGAUAGCCCUUCCCUGGCACAGGCCUGGCCUCCGUUCUCCCUGAUCCCUGCCCACGUGGUGGCUGCAAAAACAAGACACCAAGGCAUCCACACUGGGUGACAGUGCUAGGCCGGCCUGGAGGGGGCAGGCCUGUCCAGCAUGGGGACGGCAGCCGGGAAGAGCCCAUCAUCGCCUCCCAGCUCUGCCCUGAAGACUCUCCCGCCAAGAAACUGGCUACCCCUCCCCCACCUGCCUCGCUGCUGUCCUGGAGCCACACUGCCCCCUGCUGGGGAAGGCAGGUUUCUGGAGACCUGCCGAGCUCUUGGGGCUGCACCUGCCUGGUUGGCUCCAGUCACUGUAGGGGUGAGAUCCAAGACCAGUGUCGGGGCAGCUGGGCAGGACAGGACCCGGACAGCCCAGGGGGAGGCCCCAGCAGGCCCACCCCCUCACCCCUCUGUGCUCAACUCCCUGUUGGCACAACAGCCAGGACUGACCAUCAGGCUCCAGAGGCCCGCUGUCCCCAGGUCCUCAGGAGGGCCACCCUCCCACCAGCAGCUCUUCCUAGCCAGCAUUGCCCAUCCGUCUGUCUGUGUGUUUUGAAUGCUCAAGAUUUUUUCAA